CCUCUCCCUCUCCUUCUGUACUCUUCCCCUCUCAUAUCCUUUGUCUCUUUUUAUCUUUUGGUGCCUUCACGAUUUGGUUACUAAUUUGUAAGAGCACUUUAGAAAUUAAGACUAUUAACCCUCAUAUACGUUGCAAAUGCUUUCCUAGCCCAUCUUUUUAAAUUGCAUUAUUUUUUCUAGAGAAGUUUUGCAUUUGUAGGUAAUCACAUCUGCCUUUUCCCUCAGCCUUUGCAUGAAUGCUUUAAAAGGUCUUACCCACCCAAAGACCAGAUAAAUAUUGACUUCUAUUUCCUUCUUCUGUGUUAGUUUUGUUUUGUCAAUUUCAACAAAUCCAUGUCUUAAAUGAGUCUUCUGUGUUAAAAAGACAACUAGAAUGGUGAAGGCAGCCUCAGUUGCAGUUGUGGUCGAGAGGGAUAUGGUCAGGGCAAUGAUUCUAACCCUUUUCUGCCUCCACAUGGUCCAGCUGUACAGCCUGUGCCCAUCAGUAAUCGCUCUCAUUGUGCACCAUGAUUCGCAGCUGGGGUGAAGGGAAUGGGAGCACUCCCGGCUCAGCUGAGACUCCCUGGUGGAGACUGAAAGGGAAGGACGUACUUAGCAGAAGUCAGUUAGCAGUGGUUGAUGGGCUCUGGGUGAUGAGCAAAGUAACCAGUGACUCCCCAGUUUUGAGAGACUGGGUAGAUCAUCACUCUGUUAGUCUAGACUGUGGAGACUGGCCUUAGGAAGGAGGGAAGGAGCACAGAAGAUGAUGUAGACAGCUUAGGACUUACUCCUUUUGGAAGGCUGUGAGUCAGGUCAGGUGGAGCUGUUCAUGCAGUGUCUGCACCAGGGAAGAAAGAUCUGGAAGCCAGCUGCUUAAAGGAAGUCGAAGCAGUGGGAGGGAAUGAAACAGCCCAUGUGCGGAGAACCAGAAGAAGAACAUGGUCCAACAGGAACUCUGGGGAACACUAAAAUUCAAGCAGUGAGAGAGGGGGCGUUGAAGAGGGGAAAUAAGCACAAGGGACUAAGAAGAAAUUGUCAAGGAAGGAAGAGAACCAGAAGAUAGUGGUGCCAAGAGAAAAAGAGUUUCAAGGAUAGAGAAUGGUCUCCAGCAUUGGAAUUUUCUAGCACAAUACCAGGGUUCUGCACUGUACAGUCAAAACCUACAUCCUUUCUCAGCUGCCAUUAGACUCCCUGUUCUUAAAUAUCAGACCCGUUCAUAGCUCCUUGUUGUUGCCCACAAUGAUAGUCCCCCCCCCAACCAGCUCUCCACCUGGUAAGCCACUCAUCUUCCAAGAGCAGCCUCAGAUACCCACCGCUCCAAUACGUCCUAUAGUUGAGACCAGGGCAUAGACCCCUGCCACCCAGAAGUCGCUCGUCACCAGACGUCAGCCGCUCAGUGCUCAGUUAGAGUGCAUAAAAUAUUUUCAGUGUCAGAAACUCUGUGAGAUCUCAUUUGUAACUCUACGCUCAUUCUGUUUCACGGAUAUUAUUAAGAAGAAAUGGCUGUGAAUUGAAUGAAAAGAUUAUUUUUAAAUUAUUUCACAUUUAUUAUUUCUCUUCCUUUUAUUAUAGGCUAUCCCCAGAUGCUUUUUAGAAGGAAGGUAGGGUGUGUUUAUAAGUACCUUUUAAAAGUAGUUAGAAAACAAAUCCAUAAAGACUGAAAAUGUUGGGCUCUGUGACCUGCUUGUUUUUAAUGAUGCCGUAUUACAGAGGCCUUACUAAUCCUGUGUGAUUAAGUGUGGAAAUUUUUGCUUUAAUCUUUGCAACAGGUUAGAUCACGAGACAGUGAACACCAAAAAAAAAGAAGGAAAGAAAGAGAAAAAAAAUCACUGCUACUGAAAAUGUUUGAUACCAAAUAUUGUUUAAAUCAUUGCAGGAAGCUUUGAAAAUCAUUUUGUUGCAUUUGGUAAUUAAAAGGAGACUUGACCUAAUAUCUUAUAAAUACUGGGCUCUAAAUCGUCUACAAAAUAGUCACUAUCCUAAAACACUAAGUUAGAAACAUUUUUGUAGAUUUUCUGCACUUUACAUUUUCAGCUCACAGUACUCCUGUUAGGUGAGUAACGGGAUUCACGGUAACCUCCGUGUGACAGGUGAGGGAGAUGAGACGCCUGCCCCACGUCACAGAUCGUAAACGUCCACCUACAUCACAGACCUUGCCACCGAAGAGCUUAGAAUCAAAGCAGAGGCAGGUGGACGUUUGUAAGAACAGAAAACUCCCAUGAGCAGAAAGCAACACCCUUAACUCACCAUAGGGCUUCAUGAGGUUGGAAGGUCAGUGUCGAGCUCCUCUUGUGACCUCGCUCACGUUUUCAGAAGGUAGCC